CAGGAAGUAAGUGGUCCAGCCGGCCAGCAGCAGCGCCCCGAUGAGCACCGUGUAGCUGAGGAGCACGAAGGCGAGCAGCUCCCGCAGCAGCUGCAGCACGUGGACGGUGGACGAGGCCGGCAUCGCGCUGCGCGGGAGCCCCAGGACGGUCGGCGGCCUGCCGGGCUGGCGCCGUCCCAGAGGGGCGGACGGGAACACACGAGGUCCUGGCCCUCGAAACAGCAAACGAAGGCCAGGAAGCCCACAGUGCCGACCUCCCCAACAGCCUCCUGGACGCUCGCUUCUCGGUUACACUGGAGAAUCCUUCUCAACCCAAACUGCCCUCGUUCUUCGGCUCUGAUCCGGGCUGAGGAGGCAGAAGCCCGGCUCUUCCCCGCGCCCCGCAGCUGCAUGAGUUUUCCUCCCUGGCCCGCUCCUCCCACCACCUCCUGCAUUUUUAAUGCUGUGAGUGCCGCUAAUGCGCUGGUGGAGUAAACCUUUCUUUUCCCGUCACUCAAGCUGCAGCCCCAGCUGCGGCCCUGGCUGGAAGGGGAAGGGGAGAGAGACCCAUUUGGGCAGGAGGAAGGCACAGGCCCAAACCUGCUCUUCUGUGAGUCCCCUGGCCCCAAGGCUUGCCAGCAGCAGAGCUGGAGGAUCUUUGCUUUGUGGUCCAGCAUGCUUGCCUUCUGGCCAGCUGGGACUGCAGGGUGCCAGGUGGUGGGUGGGCAUCAAUCCGAUCCUGGGCUCACCCCCGCCACCGUGCUCUGUGCAUCUGCCCCAGCCCUGCUAACUUCCACCAGAGACGACAUCAGACAGUAAGAACCCCACACCAGCUCAUCAGACAGUAGGAACCCUACAACACCUCCAAUGCUGCUUUGCCCAGCCACUCCCCACAGUGUCAGGCACUGGCUUCCUUCUCUCCCCACCUCACUUACUUGGCAAAGUUUCCACGAAUCUUCCACCCUGAAGCUCCGCGGUUCUGUCUGCUCUGGUGCCCAAAGGUAGCUUGUGUGUAUUCUGCGAUCUCGGCAGAACUGAGAUUUUCAAGCAGCGGCACUCAACAACUAGGUGUGGUCUAGAGACCAAUUACAACCUCCGCGUGGUCCCCGAGCUCUCAGGGAGCUGCGCACAGGCGUUCCUAGCCCAGGCGGGGCGCUGGCAACCCUGCCCGCCCUCUGCCUGUGUCGCCACCACAGCCCACAGGGCUCAGAUGUGGUUUCACAGACCCAGAUGGGCUGAGCAGGCGGCACACUAGUGGGUAUUUCAAGCCCCUUCUUGUUUUUUUCUGAACAUUGUAAGGGGUUAUGGGGUUAUAGUGCGAACAGUUUCGUUUCUAACAAACACAUUGAGAGCAGUCCCAUCUCCUCCGAGUCUGGGCACCAGAAGAACCACUGGACAGUGUUCACUUGCGACCGCCCAACUACUAAAGCAAAAGCUGUUGUCUUAAAAAACAUGCAAGUGCAAGCAUGCACGGGUGUGAGAACCAAGCUUAAGUGACCGAGAUCUCCUGAGUGCUUGAUUCCGAUUUACAAAGAGUUUUGCAGCUUACAGACUCAUUAUACAGAUACUUUCCCAAUGUGACACUUCCAAUUUCACCUCCUCACAAUGUGAGGCAAAAGGAGCCAGUGAGGAUUUCUGCAAAGAACAGACACUUUCCCAGAUGCAACAACAAAGGAAACGAAAGCAUAAACUAUGCUGCUUCUGAUUAUUUUGCUCGUUGCCGUAGUUUUUAGUUCAAGACUGUUUUCUGACCUUUGAAAAGAGCAGGCAGUGUGGACAUCAACCCUUUUAUCAACAUCAUCAUCCAGAAGCAAAUGGCUCCUUAAUUUAAUCAGGAUCUCUUAUUAUCAAAUUAUUGCCUUGGCCACAGUGAGGCUGAAAACAGGAGCAGAACAUUAUCAAGCUGCUCAGGAAGCCAGUGAGUAGUAAUUACUCCCCCAGAGAACUGGUCAUCUUCCGUGUCCUACCUAGUGGCAACGGAGUACAGCUGAGAUUUAUACCCUCCUCCACACCAAAAUAAUGGAUGAAACAGACAGGCUAUUAAAAAUAGGCCUGAUUCUGUUCCCUUUUAACCCUCACAUCCUUCAAAUGGAUGUCUCCAGGCAGUUAAGUGUUCUAGCCUUUGCGGCCCCUUGUUACCGCCUGAUUUUGGGUGUUUUACAGCAACGGAGGAACUUAAGCAAAGAAACACUAUGUGGCUUGAAAUUCACACUAAUCCAUUUAGAAAUAAAAGAAUCUGAGAAAUUUUAAAUAAUUGCCUUUUUCUUCUGUUGUCUGACAAAAAAGGUAUCCUCUAUUUUCUAUAGGAUGUCAUCAUUAAACCACGACUGAAUAUAUCACAGUCUACAAUAAAUUCAGUCUAAAGAAGAUCA
rnacentral:lncRNA from 1 species